rnacentral:rRNA from 1 species
CAGUAGCCGCGGUAACACGAAGGGUGCAAGCGUUAAUCGGAAUUACUGGGCGUAAAGCGUGCGUAGGCGGUGAGUUAAGUCUGCUGUGAAAUCCCCGGGCUCAACCUGGGAAUGGCAGUGGAUACUGGCUCGCUAGAGUGUGUCAGAGGAUGGUGGAAUUCCCGGUGUAGCGGUGAAAUGCGUAGAGAUCGGGAGGAACAUCAGUGGCGAAGGCGGCCAUCUGGGACAACACUGACGCUGAGGCACGAAAGCGUGGGGAGCAAACAGGAUUAGAUACCCCCGUAGUCCCUGUCUCUUAUAC